GACGAACGCUGGCGGCGUGCUUAACACAUGCAAGUCGAACGGAAAGGCCCUGCUUUUGUGGGGUGCUCGAGUGGCGAACGGGUGAGUAACACGUGAGUAACCUGCCCUUGACUUUGGGAUAACUUCAGGAAACUGGGGCUAAUACCGGAUAGGAGCUCCUGCUGCAUGGUGGGGGUUGGAAAGCUUCGGCGGUUGGGGAUGGACUCGCGGCUUAUCAGCUUGUUGGUGGGGUAGUGGCUUACCAAGGCUUUGACGGGUAGCCGGCCUGAGAGGGUGACCGGCCACAUUGGGACUGAGAUACGGCCCAGACUCCUACGGGAGGCAGCAGUGGGGAAUAUUGCACAAUGGGCGGAAGCCUGAUGCAGCAACGCCGCGUGCGGGAUGACGGCCUUCGGGUUGUAAACCGCUUUCGCCUGUGACGAAGCGUGAGUGACGGUAAUGGGUAAAGAAGCACCGGCUAACUACGUGCCAGCAGCCGCGGUGAUACGUAGGGUGCGAGUGUUGUCCGGAUUUAUUGGGCGUAAAGGGCUCGUAGGUGGUUGAUCGCGUCGGAAGUGUAAUCUUGGGGCUUAACCCUGAGCGUGCUUUCGAUACGGGUUGACUUGAGGAAGGUAGGGGAGAAUGGAGUUCCUGGUGGAGCGGUGGAAUGCGCAGAUAUCAGGAGGAACACCAGUGGCGAAGGCGGUUCUCUGGGCCUUUCCUGACGCUGAGGAGCGAAAGCGUGGGGAGCGAACAGGCUUAGAUACCCUGGUAGUCCACGCUGUAAACGGUGGGUACUAGGUGUGGGGUCCAUUCCACGGGUUCCGUGCCGUAGCUAACGCUUUAAGUACCCCGCCUGGGGAGUACGGCCGCAAGGCUAAAACUCAAAGGAAUUGACGGGGCCCCGCACAAGCGGCGGAGCAUGCGGAUUAAUUCGAUGCAACGCGUAGAACCUUACCUGGGUUUGACAUGGAUCGGGAGUGCUCAGAGGUGGGUGUGCCUCUUUUGGGGUCGGUUCACAGGUGGUGCGUGGCUGUCGUCAGCUCGUGUCGUGAGAUGUUGGGUUAAGUCCCGCAACGAGCGCAACCCUUGUUCACUGUUGCCAGCACGUUAUGGUGGGGACUCAGUGGAGACCGCCGGGGUCAACUCGGAGGAAGGUGGGGAUGACGUCAAGUCAUCAUGCCCCUUAUGUCCAGGGCUUCACGCAUGCUACAAUGGCUGGUACAGAGAGUGGCGAGCCUGUGAGGGUGAGCGAAUCUCGGAAAGCCGGUCUCAGUUCGGAUUGGGGUCUGCAACUCGACCUCAUGAAGUCGGAGUCGCUAGUAAUCGCAGAUCAGCAACGCUGCGGUGAAUACGUUCCCGGG
rnacentral:rRNA from 1 species